rnacentral:rRNA from 1 species
UACAGAGGGUGCGAGCGUUAAUCGGAAUUACUGGGCGUAAAGCGCACGUAGGUGGCGACGUAAGUCGGGUGUGAAAGCCCCGGGCUCAACCUGGGAAUUGCAUUCGAGACUGCAUUGCUGGAGUACGGAAGAGGAAGGCGGAAUUCCCGGUGUAGCGGUGAAAUGCGUAGAUAUCUGGAGGAACAUCGGUGGCGAAGGCGGCAUCCUGGACCGAUAUUGACGCUGAGGCGCGAAAGCCAGGGGAGCAAACGGG